rnacentral:rRNA from 1 species
UACAGAGGGGGCAAGCGUUGUUCGGAAUUACUGGGCGUAAAGGGCGCGUAGGCGGCCUGUUAAGUCGAACGUGAAAUCCCCGGGCUCAACCCGGGAACUGCGUCCGAUACUGGCAGGCUUGAAUCCGGGAGAGGGAUGUGGAAUUCCAGGUGUAGCGGUGAAAUGCGUAGAUAUCUGGAGGAACACCGGUGGCGAAGGCGGCAUCCUGGACCGGCAUUGACGCUGAGGCGCGAAAGCCAGGGAAGCAAACGGG